UCGAGAAGCUUCGGCAAUGGGCGAAAGCCUGACCGAGCGACGCCGCGUGAGCGAUGAAGGCCCUUGUGGUUGUAAAGCUCUGUCAGAGGGGAUUAACACGGAGCGGCGAAUAGCCUCUCCGUCUGAAAGUACCCUCAGAGGAAGCUCCGGCUAACUCCGUGCCAGCAGCCGCGGUAAUACGGAGGGAGCGAACGUUGUUCGGAAUCACUGGGUGUAAAGGGUGCGUAGGCGGCCUUGUAUGUCGGAGGUGAAAUCUACCGGCUCAACCGGUCAAAUUGCCUCCGAAACUGGUUGGCUUGAGUCCGGAAGGGGAGGGUGGAAUUCCUGGUGUAACGGUGAAAUGUGCAGAUAUCAGGAGGAACACCGGUGGCGAAGGCGGCCCUCUGGUCCGGUACUGACGCUGAGGCACGAAAGCCAGGGGAUCAAACGGG
rnacentral:rRNA from 1 species